CGCGGUCUACGUCACCGGACCCGGCUUUAAAUGUACCUCGUCGCACGGCUUCCUUCAAUUCUACUUUUUGCUGGAGUGACCAAAGCCAGCGCAUCUCAAGCAACAACGAACAUUACCGAUGAAACCACGGCGGCAUGCUGCGACAGCGUAUGGUUUUCGCUAAACUACACUG